UACGUAGGGCGCAAGCGUUAUCCGGAAUUAUUGGGCGUAAAGAGCUCGUAGGCGGUUUGUCGCGUCUGCCGUGAAAGUCCGGGGCUCAACUCCGGAUCUGCGGUGGGUACGGGCAGACUAGAGUGAUGUAGGGGAGACUGGAAUUCCUGGUGUAGCGGUGAAAUGCGCAGAUAUCAGGAGACACCGAUGGCGAAGGCAGGUCUCUGGGCCGAUACUGACGCUGAGGAGCGAAAGCGUGGGGAGCGAACAGG
rnacentral:rRNA from 1 species